rnacentral:lncRNA from 1 species
AUUUGAAUGAAAAUACAAUAAAUUAAAAAUUAUAAAAUUGUUAAACUAUAAAUUUAAAUUAUAAAUACAGGUAACAUACUAAUUGGGAAUGGAAAACUUGUGCUUUAAACGAAAGUACUGUACUGUAGAUGAUUCUGUAUACAAAUUUGAUUAUUAAUAUCUAAGCCCAAUUUGUGAAGAAUCAAAAAUUUCCCAUCUACUUCAUGAAGCAUUACAUUAUUUUAUUUAAACAAGAUACUUUAAGAUUACUUUCUACUCUUGAAAUGAUUAAAAACAGUCACAAGCUCUUUCAGCAGAAAAAUAAUAUUUUUAAUUUUAUAGUAUAUAUUAACAGGCACAUUUACUAUACCGCAUUUACUAUAAGGUGUAUUAGGCACAAGUUGGAGCCUCUCUUUCUCUCUUUUUGUGGGGCCACAUUUUAAAUCUAAAAAUUUAUUGAAGUUAAGCAAUUUUUAAUAAUAAUAAAGAAAGAAAAUUCUUUAAUUAAAAAUAUGUACAAAUUUAUAAACAAUGGGUUAAGGUGUAUUUUUCCAAAU